rnacentral:rRNA from 1 species
CACGUAGGGGACGAGCGUUGUCCGGAUUCAUUGGGCGUAAAGCGCGCGCAGGCGGUCGUUCAAGUCGCGUGUGAAAGCCCCCGGCUCAACUGGGGAGGGUCACGCGAUACUGAUCGACUGGAAGGCAGGAGAGGGUAGUGGAAUUCCCGGUGUAGUGGUGAAAUGCGUAGAUAUCGGGAGGAACACCAGUGGCGAAGGCGGGUUGCUGGGCUGACACUGACGCUGAUUGUGCGAAAGCUAGGGGAGCGAACGGG